rnacentral:rRNA from 1 species
AGAGUUUGAUCAUGGCUCAGAUUGAACGCUGGCGGCAGGCCUAACACAUGCAAGUCGAACGGUAACAGGAAGCAGCUUGCUGCUUCGCUGACGAGUGGCGGACGGGUGAGUAAUGUCUGGGAAGCUGCCUGAUGGAGGGGGAUAACUACUGGAAACGGUAGCUAAUACCGCAUAAUGUCGCAAGACCAAAGAGGGGGACCUUCGGGCCUCUUGCCAUCGGAUGUGCCCAGAUGGGAUUAGCUUGUUGGUGGGGUAACGGCUCACCAAGGCGACGAUCCCUAGCUGGUCUGAGAGGAUGACCAGCCACACUGGAACUGAGACACGGUCCAGACUCCUACGGGAGGCAGCAGUGGGGAAUAUUGCACAAUGGGCGCAAGCCUGAUGCAGCCAUGCCGCGUGUAUGAAGAAGGCCUUCGGGUUGUAAAGUACUUUCAGCGGGGAGGAAGGGAGUAAAGUUAAUACCUUUGCUCAUUGACGUUACCCGCAGAAGAAGCACCGGCUAACUCCGUGCCAGCAGCCGCGGUAAUACGGAGGGUGCAAGCGUUAAUCGGAAUUACUGGGCGUAAAGCGCACGCAGGCGGUUUGUUAAGUCAGAUGUGAAAUCCCCGGGCUCAACCUGGGAACUGCAUCUGAUACUGGCAAGCUUGAGUCUCGUAGAGGGGGGUAGAAUUCCAGGUGUAGCGGUGAAAUGCGUAGAGAUCUGGAGGAAUACCGGUGGCGAAGGCGGCCCCCUGGACGAAGACUGACGCUCAGGUGCGAAAGCGUGGGGAGCAAACAGGAUUAGAUACCCUGGUAGUCCACGCCGUAAACGAUGUCGACUUGGAGGUUGUGCCCUUGAGGCGUGGCUUCCGGAGCUAACGCGUUAAGUCGACCGCCUGGGGAGUACGGCCGCAAGGUUAAAACUCAAAUGAAUUGACGGGGGCCCGCACAAGCGGUGGAGCAUGUGGUUUAAUUCGAUGCAACGCGAAGAACCUUACCUGGUCUUGACAUCCACGGAAGUUUUCAGAGAUGAGAAUGUGCCUUCGGGAACCGUGAGACAGGUGCUGCAUGGCUGUCGUCAGCUCGUGUUGUGAAAUGUUGGGUUAAGUCCCGCAACGAGCGCAACCCUUAUCCCUUGUUGCCAGCGGUCCGGCCGGGAACUCAAAGGAGACUGCCAGUGAUAAACUGGAGGAAGGUGGGGAUGACGUCAAGUCAUCAUGGCCCUUACGACCAGGGCUACACACGUGCUACAAUGGCGCAUACAAAGAGAAGCGACCUCGCGAGAGCAAGCGGACCUCAUAAAGUGCGUCGUAGUCCGGAUUGGAGUCUGCAACUCGACUCCAUGAAGUCGGAAUCGCUAGUAAUCGUGGAUCAGAAUGCCACGGUGAAUACGUUCCCGGGCCUUGUACACACCGCCCGUCACACCAUGGGAGUGGGUUGCAAAAGAAGUAGGUAGCUUAACCUUCGGGAGGGCGCUUACCACUUUGUGAUUCAUGACUGGGGUGAAGUCGAAACAGGGUA